rnacentral:sRNA from 1 species
GCUGACCUCGUUCGUGCACGGCGCGGAACAACGCUUGAUCUGAUAGAGCAGACAGGGGCGCGUGCGUGUUUCGAAGACACUGUCGGUGCAGGUUCUGAGAAGAAAGGCGCGCUGCAGCGAGUUGAUCGUGCGUCCGACUG